UGUGAAGCGCUAAUUCUCCUUGAGGAUGGAGAGGGGAGGAGAAUCCUUGGAAACUCAAGGGCGAAUAACUGGUGUGCACAGCUCCUUGGCAACAACAGACAAACAAGGAGGAGUGUGGAAUGGGAG